GUGGAUUUCGACCGGGAUUUCCGUGUUAGAGGUGAUUGAGAACAAUGUAUUGAUACACGAGGUAAGCAUAUCGCAAUCAAGCAUCACGGUGUACAUCGAUUACACGAGGUUUAAGUGUUUGUUUACAUUUGUGUUCCAAAAUGGCGCCCUCGGUCAUACAGGGAAUUAUGGGUAGACUUGCUUGUCCCGGAAUAACACGAGUUGGUCACGAAUGACGAGCGGUCAUUUCUGCAGCAGUUACGGAAAGAGACGAGGUUGGCCGAUUACAGUUCAUGCAGGCCAUAUUGGGAGCCGCGGGGAUUUCGACAGUGUGUAUUAGGAAGUAUAUCUAUGUGGUGUAUGGAAUAUGCGUUUGCCUACCAUGCCAGGCAGUGUGACAAGGGAUAUCCCGGCGGAUGUAAUAUUCCUACAGCAGAAAUGUUUCACAACCUCGAUUGCAGGGAGCUGAAGACGUGACAUAUUCAGACAGAGACCAUAAUACAUAGACUGUUAUAUGGUCUCUGAUUCAGGUGUGAAGAAUCAAGAACAAAUUAAAUGACAGGAGUUUUGCAACAGUGAACAUUGUGAAGUGGAAGAUAAGACAUUUGAAAGGUACCUGGAUUUCACAAUCUGACACCAGCUACAUUUAAGAAGAUCUUGCUCACACAAUUCAGACAAGGGACUCGCCGGAUGAUGAACAGUACUCCUGAUAACAACCAACAGAUUCACCUCAGAAAGUGAUGAUUCUGAAUGAAUAAUGCCACACCAGUGUUACUGUAGGUGGUUUUAUUAUGACACUAAUGAAGUCUGAAUGAAUUUAUGCCAAAGCACUGUGACUAUGUCCAGUUUGUGUACACCGAUGCUGACUAUACAAAUCUGAAUGACUUUUGUGGUUUACUG